rnacentral:rRNA from 1 species
AUGGAAGGACCCACUCCUAUUUCAGCUCUUAUACACGCAGCAACUAUGGUUGCUGCGGGAAUUUUUCUUCUAGCUCGACUUCUUCCUCUUUUCAUAUCUUUACCUUUGAUAAUGAGUUUUAUUUCUUUAGUAGGUACAAUAACACUAUUCUUAGGAGCUACUUUAGCUCUUGCUCAGAGAGAUAUUAAAAGAAGCUUAGCCUAUUCUACAAUGUCUCAAUUGGGUUAUAUGAUGUUAGCUCUAGGUAUAGGUUCUUAUAAAGCUGCUUUAUUCCAUUUGAUCACUCAUGCUUAUUCAAAAGCUUUAUUGUUCUUGGGAUCCGGAUCCGUUAUUCAUUCAAUGGAACCUCUUGUUGGAUAUUCACCAGAUAAAAGUCAAAAUAUGGUUCUUAUGGGCGGUUUAAGAAAAUACAUUCCAAUCACAAGAACUACUUUUUUAUGGGGUACACUUUCUCUUUGUGGUAUUCCACCUCUUGCUUGCUUCUGGUCCAAAGAUGAAAUCCUUAGUAAUAGUUGGUUGUAUUCGCCCUUUUUUGGAAUAAUAGCCUCCUUUACUGCAGGAUUAACUGCCUUUUAUAUGUUUCGGAUAUAUUUACUUACAUUUGAUGGGUAUUUGCGUGUUCAUUUUCAAAAUUACAGUAGCACUAAAGAGAGUUCCUUGUAUUCAAUAUCCUUAUGGGGAAAAAGGAUACCCAAAGGAGAGAAUAGGGAUUUCGUUUUAUCAACAACGAAGAGUGGAGUUUCUUUUUUUUCACAAAAUAUACCAAAAAUUCAAGGUAAUACAAGAAAUAGGAUAGGAUCCUUUACUACGUCUUUUGGGGCUAAAAACACUUUUGCCUAUCCGCAUGAAACGGGAAAUACUAUGUUAUUUCCUCUUCUUAUAUUACUACUUUUCACUUUGUUCAUUGGAUUCAUAGGAAUCUCUUUUGAUAAUGGAGGAAUUGGUAAUGGAAUAGCAGAGUUAACCAUAUUAUCAAAGUGGUUAACUCCCUCAAUAAACUUUACUCAGGAAAGUUCUAAUUCUUUUGUAAAUUCAUAUGAAUUUAUUACUAAUGCAAUUUCUUCUGUAAGUCUAGCUAUCUUUGGUUUAUUCAUAGCAUAUAUCUUCUAUGGAUCCGCUUAUUCUUUUUUUCAGAAUUUGGAUUUAAUAAACUCUUUUUACAAAGGAAAUCCUAAAAAAGAAUUUUUAGAUCAAGUAAAAAAAUAUAUACAGUUGGUCAUAUAA